CAAACAACAAUGAUCAUCAUCUGCUUUGUUUUACCAUUUGUCUUGAGUUAUGGUGAAGCUAAUAAGAGUCCUAUCAGUCCAGAUAAAGCAUCUGUGUCUUUAAAUGAAGACAAUAAUGCUACUCUGUCCUGUAAAAUUGAUGAAUCAGGUUACCGUCUCUAUUGGUAUCGACAGAAGACUGGAUUGAAGUUUUUGGUGCUGAUUGAUAAAACCACCAAAUUUGUAAUGCCCGCUACUCCACCUCUUCCACAUAUGUCCACCAGUCUCCAUAAUAACAACCGUGUGGAUCUGAUCAUCUCCUCUGCUGCUGUAUCAGACUCUGCUCUGUAUUACUGUGCUCUGGAGCCCACAGUGACAGGAAAGUCUGCAACACUGUACAAAAUCCAAGUUUUGAUGAUUCAUUUAAAUUAA